CCACUCCCCCCCCCCCCCCCCGCCGCAUUCUCGUCCGCCCCGGGUGCGGAGGCGAGCUUCCCGGCGACGGUGGCGCUGGCUCGACGCGGGGGAGCGGCCGAUGCGGGGUCGGUUGGAUCGAGGCGUGGGAGCGGCGGAUGCGGCGGCGGCGGCACGAGAAGUGCAACGGCGGCGGCGUCGACCUAUGAAGAGGCGAGAGGAGCGGUGGUGGCGGCGUCGAGCUGCGAAGAGGCGCCGCUCGGGCGCGAGACCACGGAGGCGGGAGCGGCUGCUUCGGGCCCUGAUAUGAGAGGGUACGAGGCAGGGAAGGACAGCAUCGUCGCCGUCACAGGGGAGCAUUAGGCCUCCUAUGGUCUGGAUUUCUCCAAAUGACCAGGCUUUGCGAAAAUUGUAUACGCAUGUCUUACAGCCUAGGUAUUCCUCUUCUAGAUAUACUCUAUUGUUUUUGUUCACUUACUUCUAAUGAGUAUUUAAACUUCUUCAAGCAUAUUGGACUUUUGAACCUAUGUAGCCAGCUCUUUGGAAUUUAUCUAGACAAGUAUUUUUGGUAAUGAUAUGUAUUUGCAAGCUUACUUCUCAGUUUUUUCUAUUGUUGGGUACAUAUAGAUAAUUUCGUUGGGUAUCUACAAAGUACAUAUAGAUAAUUUUCGACCAUUUGUGACUGAAAGAUUUUUGCCAUAAUAAAAUUAACUCUGUCGAGCAGUGCUCGUUGUGAAGGAAAUGACGGGAAAUUGCUGAGCCUUAUUGGUUGGAAGAGGAAUGCUAAUCCUACAAAUAGAUCUAUAAUGAAUUAGACUUGAGAACAAUCACCAAAUAAUAAACAGUCCCAAAUUUGUAGAUGUUGUUUGAUUCAAAUACCGAUUUGAGCAUUUGGCGCAUCUAAAAUUCAUCAAAAAGGAUGCGUGAUUUUCUGCCUAAUCACUUAGUGUACUGUUUGGUAAUCAGGUUAUCCUGGACCUCUUUGGGGACAAAAUCACCAAGUUUUCUUCUUAUUGCACAGCAAGUUAAAAAAAGUCAGUGGCUAAUGACUCUUCUUAUCUCUCUGUUCACUGAUGUGCUUAGCUGCAAAAAUUCUAAAAAGAUGCGCCUAAUGAGGGGGUGGUGGAUGUGCGUCCUCUAGGGCCUCGUCGGCCAGAGAAGGAGGGGAGGAGCGGUUGCCGACGAGCGAGGUGGCUCUGUUUGGACCGGCCAUGGUGUUGGCUGUUGACUCCCACCGGUCUUGUCUCCCCCAACCCUUCCAUGGAGCUCGCUUAGCCACCGGCUAGCACAUCUUCUUCUCGCUCACAGCACCAAGGCCAUGUGUAGCUUACUUUUUAACUGUUAUUGCUGAUUGGAGCCAUUGCUAUUGGCUAUUUAUACAUAAGAUGGAAGGUGAAUUGAGAUUUUUGUGAGGGGGAUUGGAUUUUAUCCAGAUGGCUUGCUUCUCGUGAUGAGACUGAUACUAAUGAACUAAUGAAGACAUGAAGGUUGCAUCUUAUCCCCAUUUCCCUUUCUACAUUUGCCAUUUAGUCAAUUAACAUACAUUGUACUAUUUCCCUUUCUACAGUUGCCAUUUAGUUGAUUAACAUAGAUUGUACUAUUUUCGGUUAAGCACACUGUGGGUCAAUGAAUGUGGAAUUAGCUACUUUUUAUAUCCCUAGACCAUAUAUAUUACAUGCAUCAGUACUUGAUGCAUCUCUGAUAUGCUUUUGCUUUUUAUUGUUACCCUUAAUUUCUACUUUUCUAUGAACCCAACGUUUAGGUUGCAGGCUCAACUGCAUAUCUAUAUUCUCUGUAUGAAUUUUUUAGCUAGCUUUGAAGCGAAUGUGGUGAUCAAGGCUCUAAUAUGUAUUCUUUAUUUGCAUGAAUGUUGUGUGCAUAUAGGUACUUGCAAUGGAAUCUUUUUCUCAUAGACGAGAAGUACUUUGAAAACAGAUUUUAAAAAUUGAUAUAAUUUUACAAGUGUACAGAUAGCUGACAAGGCAACAAUGCUAUUGUUCAAAUGUAGUCGAGCCGGGCUUUUGGUGUUUUUGGUGCUAUUGUUCAAAUUUUGCUUUCUUAGAUUCAUUGCAACCAAAAGAUUUGGUAAUAUUUUUUUUCUGGAAACAUGGAUACACUUGUUGGUGUUGUAUACUGGAAUCUGGUGUUGUAUACAUGGAUACACAGCUAUAUUCAAAUGGAUCAUAGGCCCAAUAAAACAUCAUUUUACUUCAAAAUCUAAUAUACGUUUUAUUUAUUUUCCUGUUGCAUAUACAGGCAACUCUUCCUGUUGCAUCAAAAGUAACUUGCUUCGUACAUGCAAACUAAUUAGCCAUAUAGUUAAAUUAGCUACGUAUUAAGAUUCGGUACAUCUACUGCUUAUUUAUGUUGUGUACUAUUUGUUGUGUCCAAUCUUUAUGCGCUUGUUAUUUUUAUCACACUGUAAUCAAACUUCUGUUGUUAUAGCAAUACGAAAUCCUAUGCAUCAAACUUCUGUUCUUAUAGCAAUUACAGUUUUGAUACCUCUGUUUCUUUAUAUCAUCUUGUUGGGUUUCUGUUUCUCUUCAUAUAGGAUACAAAUAUGUGAUUCUCAUGUGGUCCUUUCGCUGGAAAUUUGCUAAUCUUAGGGGUGCUGCUACAGAUGUAAAAGCCGUUUUAUCAAAAGAACUAAAGUAGUAGCUAAUCCAAGCAUUGAAGAAUUGACGCAGAGAUUACGCUAUAUUAGCAUGAAGUCAGAGCAGCGCGUGAAGACUACAUAAGAUAGUUUCUGGUGACCUUCAGUCUAUAUGUCCUAACAAACAACAGCCACCUUUUAUUUCGGUAUCAAUCGAUCCAGUAUCUUUCCCUUUUUGGCGUUGCUCUGAGCAAGAUAUGUAUAGCCUUUAGAUUUCCAUUCAUGUAUGAUACUACAUGUACACUUUAGACCUCAUUCUUGUCUCUGCGGUCUAAAGAAUGUUCUAUAUAUGUAAUUAACUGCCCUUCUACUAAUAUAUUCAGAAGACUAUUUAUGUAUGUUUACACUGGUUAGAGAAAAUCAUCACACUGCCAGCAGCAGUUUUUUAUUUCCA